rnacentral:rRNA from 1 species
AGUGAACGCUGGCGGUAGGCCUAACACAUGCAAGUCGAACGGCAGCACAGUAAGAGCUUGCUCUUACGGGUGGCGAGUGGCGGACGGGUGAGGAAUACAUCGGAAUCUACUUUUUCGUGGGGGAUAACGUAGGGAAACUUACGCUAAUACCGCAUACGACCUACGGGUGAAAGCAGGGGAUCUUCGGACCUUGGGCGAUUGAAUGAGCCGAUGUCGGAUUAGCUAGUUGGCGGGGUAAAGGCCCACCAAGGCGACGAUCCGUAGCUGGUCUGAGAGGAUGACAGGCAACGGGGGGAAUGAGAGACGGCCCAGACAGCGAGGGGAGGCAGGAGUGGGGAAUAGUGAAAAAUGGGAGGAAGCAUGAUGAAGCAACGACGAGUGCGGGAGGAGGGCAUUAGGGAUGGAAAAAGCAUGCGCCUGUGAAGAAGGGGGAGUGAAGGGAAAGGGUAAAGAAGCAAAGGCUAAUUACGUG